GGCUCAGUGGUGGAUGGUCCACACCUGCUUCUUGUGAUGUCGUUCCCAUGUAUCAGCGGGAGAUGCCUGUUCGAGUCAGGCCUGAGCCA